rnacentral:rRNA from 1 species
AGAACGAACGCUGGCGGCAUGCCUAAUACAUGCAAGUCGAACGAAGGCUUCGGCCUUAGUGGCGCACGGGUGCGUAACGCGUGGGAAUCUGCCCCUUGGUUCGGAAUAACAGUUGGAAACGACUGCUAAUACCGGAUGAUGACGAAAGUCCAAAGAUUUAUCGCCAAGGGAUGAGCCCGCGUAGGAUUAGCUAGUUGGUGAGGUAAAGGCUCACCAAGGCGACGAUCCUUAGCUGGUCUGAGAGGAUGAUCAGCCACACUGGGACUGGGACACGGCCCAGACUCCUACGGGAGCAGCAGUAGGGAAUAUGGACAAUGGGCGAAAGCCUGAUCCAGCAAUGCCGCGUGAGUGAGUGAA